rnacentral:rRNA from 1 species
UACGAAGGGGGCUAGCGUUGCUCGGAAUCACUGGGCGUAAAGCGCACGUAGGCGGAUUGUUAAGUCAGGGGUGAAAUCCUGGAGCUCAACUCCAGAACUGCCUUUGAUACUGGCGAUCUCGAGUCCGGGAGAGGUGAGUGGAACUCCGAGUGUAGAGGUGAAAUUCGGUAGAUAUUCGGAAGAACACCAGUGGCGAAGGCGGCUCACUGGCCCGGUACUGACGCUGAGGUGCGAAAGCGUGGGGAGCAAACAGGG